UGAAAUGAGAGACAUGGCAGAACCCCAAAAAAAAGACCCCCCCUUCGAAAACGACAAAUCUCUCAUUUUUCAAAAGAAAUUGGCCCCCUCACUGGAGUGACGAAAUUGUGAUCCUAGCUGAAGGUAUUUUCCGGUCAAAGUUGUGGUCUGUUUUCGAGUUUACGUCGAGGUUUCUAAUAUGCGUUCGUUGAGGGUUUUCGGCGAGACUUUUCUGUCCAUGUCCUAUUUUUCUUUUAUUGCUAUACUGGACAGUCGCUUGGCUUAUUGUACAUUGAAUUGGAGUUUUCGGCUAAUACAAGGUCUUUCUUUCCCUCUCUCAAUAUUUCUACUUUUUAUUUUCAUGAUAUUUGCUGGAAUUUUAUCUACAUUAAUUAAUGAAUGUUUAAGCUAAAGUGAUAGUUUUGUUAUUAUGUGGAUAGUUUUGUUAUUAUGUGGCUACAAAUAUGCUAAAAUCGUGAAGCUGAAGUUGUUUCAUGGGUUUGACACAUUUGUUUAGUUUUAAAAGUUUGAUGUCAUAUAUAGCGAUAUCUUUAAAUGUUUUCUUGUUGCAAGUUAUUUAUUUCAUGUGCAAUCCAUUUGAAUGCUUGAGAUAUGGACGUCACACCUAGAAUUAGGUUUCAUGAACAUAUAUUUUGGUAAGAUAAGAUUUGAAAAAAGAAGCAAAAUCGGGUAACUCAAAUGGUUUGGAUUUGGGCCGUUGGAUGGUUUUGAAAUAUAGUAUUUGGGUUCUGAUUUGAAAUUCAGAAGAUUUAGACCCUAUAAUAAGUUUGGGGCUUUAGUUGUUGGGCUGUAGAAUCUUGAUACAUACUCGCCAAUUUAUUUCAAUAGCUAGCUUAUCAUUUCUUUUUUGCAAUAGCUAAAAUCAUACAUAUCUUUCCCCAAUGUUAUAUCCAUAAAUCAUGACCUCACAACAAUCUCAAAGUAGCUUAAGAAUAAUACAUGAAUACUAUAGCUUGCUUUAGGUGCGAUUAAUGAUUAAUAAAUUAUCGUGGCCAUGGGUACGUUUCCCGUGACAUAGUCAUGAUACUUAAUCCCCAACUCGGGUGUGCAUUUCAUGUGACCCGACCAUAACUUCGAACAAUAAUAAAAUACACAUGUUGUAGAUCAUGGGUACGGUUCCUCUGACGCGAUUCGCAAUAUGUACAAAAAUAAACAAGUGUACGACAAUCGUGACUUGUUCCAUAAAUAACUCCAUAAAUCAUUAAAAGCGGUAUAAAGUUAAAAAUACACAAUAGGUUUAAAACAUAUAAUAAAUCAGAUAAUUAGGCCAAUUAUUAAUAGUUGAGCGACCGUGCUAAAACCACAGAACUCAGGAGUGCCUAACACCUUCUCCCGGGUUAACAAAAUUCCUUACCCGGUCUUUUGUGUUUGCGGACCAAAAAUAUAGUCAAUUUUCCUCGAUUUAGGAUUUAAAAUAAACCGGUGACUUGGGACACCAUAAAUUAUUCCAAGUGGCAACUCUGAAAUAAAUAAAAUAAUCCCAAUUCAAUUAAUGUCACUUAAUUUUGAAAAGUUUCCUUAUAUCCCCAUGCGGGAAAAAAAAAGGUGUGAUAGGCAUGCCUUAUUCAAAUCCAUAUAAUCUACACACAUUCUAAGCUUGUUUCCUUUAUUAGGUACGACUACUACGUUAGCUAACCAAUCCGGGUAUUCAACUUCCCAAAUUGAACCUAUUUUUAAAUGUUUAGAUACCUCCUAUUUGAUUAACGCGUGCCUGAUUUCGGACUGCGGCCUACUCUUUUGUUUGACCGAGUGAAAUUUUGGAUCCAAGCGUAAUUUGUAAGUUGUUAUCUUCGGCGUGUCAGAUCUAAGUGAGACUAGGCAAAACAAUGGACAUUAGCUUUAAGGAAAUGAAUGAUUUUUUUCCUAAGCUCGAUGGUUAGUCCCGAGCCCAGGUAUACCUUUCUGUUCGGUAGGUGCUUGAUUAAUAAGACUUGUUCCAGUUCCUCGAUCUUCAACUUGGAGGCAUCGGUAUCAGCGGGCGCUAUGAAGGAUCUUAGGACCCCGAAGUCAUCUUCCUCAUCCGUUGGGCGAUGCUCCUAUUUUUCUGGCCCGGUCAGGGUCAGGAACAGUGAUUUCUAUUUGGUGCUUUUCUCUUUGACCAGUCCCUCAUUUCUUGAUGUCGUGAUUGCGGACACCAGACUCAGUUUCUCGACAACGAACAUCUCCUUUGCGGUCGGUUGUUCCCUAUAAACUCAACACUUGGUGCAAAGCUAACGGUACCAUUCUCAUGCUAUGGACCCAUGGUCUCCCGAAUAAGGCAUUGUAUCUCCUAUCCACUUUGAUUACAUAGAUCUUUGUCUCCUGAGUAGUUUUGGCUAUAUUGACCAGUAGGGUGAUUUCACCCUUCGCUGUCUCGCAAGCUAUAUUGAACCCAUUCAAUACUUAACUGCUGGUACGAUCUGAUCCAACAGCCCCAGUUGCUCCGCGACUCUCCAUUGGAUAAUAUUGGAUGAGCUACCUGGAUCAAUUAACACAUGCUUAACUCUAGAUGUAUUAAUGAGUAUAGAUAUUACCAGUGCAUGUUGUUAUGAGCACUUAAUUUUUGACCAUAUUUGAAAUUUUCACCACCAUUUAGUAUGUAAAUAUUUUUUAAGUUUAAUCUAUAUUUUUUAGUUUUUGUUUUACCUUUUAUAACUUUUAUUUAAGAAAAUUUAAAAUGAUAAAAAAGAGUCACAUUUCUAAACAAAUUUAACCUUCAUUUACAAAGAAAGAAAAAUUUUCAAAAAAUAAUCGUUUUUAAUCUAGUUUAGUCUAACUUUUAGAGAUGGAAGUUUCAAUAAGAAAAUUUUGAGAGAUUAGUAUGUUGUAUUGCUAUUCUAGUUUAGUAGGAGUAGUAUAUUUAUUUUUAUCAGCAAAAGAAAAAUCAAAAUCAUUAAAAGAGAAAUAAACAAUUAAAAGUGGCCACAUGAAAGAUUUCAUCUUAUGUACUCAAACUAAUUCACUUGCACCAAAGUUCCACACCUAAUAUCACCUGCCUUUUGUCAUCUUUGUCCACUCGAUAAAAUUUAUUGAGUGCAUCUAAAAUAUAUUCCCUCAAAGAAUGCAAAAUAUAUUUCUUUCUCCUCAAGAUUUCUUUCUCAGGUUCUCACACUAUAUAAAAGACACAUACACAACAAAAGAGAGGGGGAAGAAGAAAUAUAGAGCACCAAAGAAGAAUAGAGUAGAAGCCCCAAAAUCCUCUUCUUCCCCCAUUGCAAUCCGCUGAAACCAACCAAGAAAACACCUAUGUUUCUCACACCAAAACCAGCUCCUUUCUUCACCUAAACAUCACCCAAAAGCUAACAUGUAGCUACCACAAAAAUCAGCUCAAACACAAUCCUAAAAUUAGCAACAAUGAGCUGAAAAAUAGUCACGAAAAUCAGCCAAAAACCAGCUCUCCUCACCUUAAAACAAUCCCAAAGAAAAUAGUUAAAACCACCUUUGAACUUCAGCAAAAUCCAGCCAAAAAAUCCACCAAAAAUAGCCAGUAAACGCUGCUAAACCAAUAGCAAAACGACCCAGAAACAACAGCUCAAACCACUAUCAUUUGAGCCGAACAACCGUCAAAACAACCCAUGUUUCAUACCACAAAUUCCACCUCACAAUAACCAUGAAACCUCAGCCUUAAACAUCCUGCAAAAACCAGUGGAAACAAUUCAUUACAACCCCAUUUUUUGGACUUAAAAUUGUGCCAAAAGUGGAUAUUCGAGCUUGCCGUUGAGGUCUCGAGUGGAUGGUUCCGUCCGAGGUCAUAGGCAAAUUUUCGGUUCAAGAGUUGCAUAAAUCUUCAAGUUGAUGUAGUCUAAGAUGAAAGCUAAUAAAAAAUCCAAUUUUUAUCCCCUUUCUCAAUAGUAUGUUUGCUCUAGUUGCUCUUUGUCAAAUGCUCUGUUUGUUCCUAUGUUCAGAUAAAUAUUUCUUGUUUCGAUUUAUUUAAUUGAUCUGGUAUAUUGAGGCCUCGUUUACAUUAAUAACAUAAAAUUUAGUAGGUAAUCUCUUUAGUUUGAUUAUGUUUAUGAGUUGAAUGCUAAGUAGGCUACCGUUUGAUUUUGCACAUCAAAAUGGACCAUUAGCUAAGAAUAAAUGGGGACGUGAGGUUCAUUUUCAAAGAUCAUAAAUGGGCCAUUUGUUGGGUUUUAUAGAUAAAAUAAUAAUUUUGUGGCUAAAUAAGUUUAGUAUGCUAGAUCCAUUAACCUCAUAUAACUGCCCUCUUAUUAUUCCUUAAAUAAUCUAAACAAUUCAUGAAUAUGCGUAAAAUGCUUUAGGCGCACUUUAAUCCAUUAUCGUGAUUAUGUAUACGUUCGUGUGACAUAAAUAUGAUCCCAAAAAGUAAAUCAAGGUACGCGUUGACACGACUUUGGCCAAACAAUCUUAAUAAAUGAUAAAGUAUUAUUAAUUGUGUACAUGUAUGCGUGACAUAAUUUUUAGCACACUAAGUUAAACAGAUUCACGCAGGUGAUUCGUUUCAAGAUAAUCCCAAAAUGCCAUAAUCAAGUAACUAAAAAGAGGUAAAAGGUAAAAUAUACAUACAAUCUGAAUUAUGUAAUAAUCAAUUAAUUAAGCCAUGUUAUGAUUAUGAAGUGACCGUGCUAGAACCAUGGAACUCGGAAAUGGCUAACACCUUCUCCCGGGUUAACAAAACACCUUGCUCGAUCUUCUGUGUUUCGCAUACUUUAAACAGAGUCAAAACUUUCUUGAUUUGAGAUUUAAAAUAAAUGGUGAUUUGGGACACUUUAAAUAAUUAUUCCAUGUGGCGACUCUUCUAAAUAAAUAAAAUAAUCUCAUUUCCUUAAUAUUACUUAAAUUGGAAAAAUUGCUUUUCCUAAAAAAAGGAGAUGUGACAGUUGUGAGGUUGGAUUACGCCCUCGGCGUCCUCGUCGCUAAAUGAGAUGGAUCCCUCUGGAAUAUAACCUCGAGUUCAUUUUUCUUUUGUGAUAAAAAAUUUGGUGAGUUCUAUCAUUGUCCCUUAUGGAACAUCUACCCUUCCAUUCAUCAUGUUAAUCACACGUUGAGGUUUUUCUUGCUUGAUUUGUUUGUUGGUGUCCCUAAUAUUUAAAUGGUUUUUGGACUGUUCACUUAUCAAUUCCCGAAGAUGCCCAAAGUUGAACAGACGAGUCAUUUGUCUGUGAUAUCUUGUAAGUUUCCCCGAAUAACACAUUUUUGAUGUCCAAGAAUGAAGUUCCAAACUCUAAUUAAAAAAAUGUGAUAACCCGGCUAGUCGUCUCGUGAGUUACCGCUCUGUUUUUCCCAUUUUUGCUUCUUAUUGCUUUGUCUAUUGGUUCUAUAUCUGAUCGGGUUGGUUGACUCGGGUUCAGAAAGGAUUUGAUAAGGUUUGAGACACUUAGUCUCUUUUGAGGAUGCUUGAGUUGGAAAAAGUCAACCGGAUGUUGACUUAUAUGUUAGACGGCUCGGACGUGAGUUCUGAUGUUUCGGAUAGCUUUGGGAGGUGAUUUGGGACUUAGGAGCGUGAUGAAAUGUGUUUUGGAUGUCCGAAGUAGAUUUAGGCUUGAAUUGGCGAAACUGAAUUUUUGGCGUUUUCCGGUUGAUAGAUGAGAUUUUGAUAUAGGGGUUGGAAUUGAAUUCCAAGAGUUGCAGUAGUUCCGUUGUGUCAUUUGGGAUGUGUGUGCGAAAUUUCAGGUCAUUCGGAUGUGGUUUGGUUGGUUUUUUUUUAUCAAAAGCAGAACUCGAAAGAUUUUUGGAAACUAAGGCUUGAAUCCGAUGUGUUUUGGUUGAUUCGAUGUUGUUUGAGGUGUUUUGAAGGUUGGUAUAAGUUUGAAUAAGUUUAUGGGGUAUGUUUAUGUUUUUGGUUAAGGUCCCGGGGCCUCGGGGUGAUUUCGAAUGGUUGACGGAGAAGUUUUGAAUUUUGGUGAAGCUGCAGAUUUGCAGCUUCUGUUUUUCCGCACCUGCGGAUUGGGGACCGCAAGUGCGACGCCGCAGAUGCGGAGAAUUGGUCACAGAAGUGGAGAUAGGAUAGAAAGGCUAUGAAAGCAAAAGCAGUUGGUGAACCACACUUGCGAUGUCACAGGUGCGGCUUGUGCAUCACAGAUGCGGAAAGUGGGACUUAAGUGACGACCGCAGAUGUGGUGGUCUUGACCGCAGAUGCGGGAAUUGGGCCGCAGAUGCGAAAUCCCUAGGCCAGAACAUAUAAAUUAUUUCCUUCACAAUUUUUGAGCUAUUCCACCAUUUUUAAGUCGGCUUUUGGAGCUUUUUUGGACGAUUUUGAAGAAGGAUUUCAAGGGAACUUCAUUGCGGUAAGGAUUUUGGACCUAAAACUCGUUCCUAUAAUAUUAUUUCGCGGAUUAGAGCUAUAAUUAAUGGAAUUUAAGGGUUAAAAUUGGGGAAACUAGGGCUUGGUAUUGGAUACCAAGACUUGAGGAUUUGAGGGACCAUUUGUGGUCGGAUUUUGGUACUUUUGAUAUGUAUGAACUCGUGGGGAGAUGGGGAAUCUAUUAAUGUGAAUUUUAUCGAAUUAUGAGACGUGGGCCCGGGGGUUGGGUGUUGGUAAUUUCGGGAUUUAAGUUGUAAAUUGAUUAUUUUCGCUUAGGCUUCGUUCCCUUAGUAUAUUUUGACGUCGUGAUUCUGAUUUUGGAUAGAUUCAACACGAGUGAAGGCUGAUUUGAGGGGAAGAGGCAUCGCGGGCUAGAGAUUUAACCGUAUUGAGGUGAGUAAUGAUUGUAAAUGAUAUCCUAAGGGUAUGAAACCCCGAAUUGUACAUCGUUGUGCUAUAUUGAGGUGACUCACACGCUUGAUGACGAACGUGGAGUCGUGCACUGUUGGGGAUUGUGACUUAAUCCAUCCCGAAUGACUAUUUUACCGUGUAUUUGAUUGAAAUCUAUUUGUGAACACCAUGUUUUGGGAUGAAUGCCAUAUUUGGGUCUCGUGCCAACUAUUUGAACCCUUAGGGGAUUUUAUUGAUAUUACCUCACUGUUUUGACUUUAUACUUGAACUCAGUCAUGCUAUAUUCCACUGUUUUCAUAACUCAGCCAUGAUUACUCUGUUUUAAUACUUAAAUGAUAUUUUGGGCUGAGAACCAUGUUUUACUGUGGCUUGUGAGGAUUUUGACUGAGUAAGGCUGAGGGCCUAUGUUGUGAGGAAACACUGAUUAUGAUUAUGAGGCCGAGAGCCUGAGAUAUAUACGCCACGAGGUGGCUUUUUGAUAUGAGGCCGAGAGCCUAGUGAUGAUGCCACGAGAUGGCUUGAUAUUAUGCUUGGGCCAUAAGUGGCCCCUCCAGGAGUCUACAUACCCCCAGAGAGCGCGAGUACCCAUUGUGAUGUGCGUUAUGGCUCGAGGGGCUGGUAUAGUUCUGAGAUAUUGCCUGAGGGGCGGAUUUGUUAAUAUUGAGCCUGAGGGGCGAACCUUUAUGUGUUUAUCUUUCGUAAUUGCCUGUCAUUUACCUUCUUAAUUGUUGAAAAGGUUUUUCACAAAGUUUAAGUUGAACUUAAAUGACUCUUACAUAUCCUUACUAAUUUACUGUUUUACUGGCUUUUACUACUUCAUUAUAGCCUGUAAUGUGACUUACGUAUUUUCAUAUCUCUCAGUCGUUUAUUUAUGAUUAUUACUCACUGAGUUGGAGUACUCACUUUACUUCCUGCACCCCGUGUGCAGAUGCAUGCAUUGUUGAUCCUGCUAGCGAGAGUUGAGAGCUCCCGGCAAACUUCGGAGUUCACGAGGUAGCUGCUUGGUGUCUGCAGUCCCGUAUUUCUCCCUCCCUUAUUUCAUUUCUUUUCCCUUAUUAAUGGGUUUGUAAUAGCUUUGUAGACUUUUCAGACUUCUGUUAAAAUUGAUAGAUGCUCGUGACUAGUGACACCUCGGUAUCGGGCUGUAUUAGGUUGUAUUCCGCAAAUUGUUUGUAUUGUCACUGCUUACUUUUUGAUUUAUAUCAUGUUUAAGACUAAACGCUUAUUUUUAAUUG
rnacentral:lncRNA from 1 species